GAUACCCCUGUAGUCCUGGCCGUAAACGAUGAACACUAGGUGUCGGGGGAAUCGACCCCCUCGGUGUCGUAGCCAACGCGUUAAGUGUUCCGCCUGGGGAGUACGCACGCAAGUGUGAAACUCAAAGGAAUUGACGGGGGCCCGCACAAGCGGUGGAGUAUGUGGUUUAAUUCGAUGCAACGCGAAGAACCUUACCAGGGUUUGACAUCCUGCGAAUCCCUUGGAAACUUGGGAGUGCCUUCGGGAGCGCAGUGACAGGUGGUGCAUGGCUGUCGUCAGCUCGUGUCGUGAGAUGUUGGGUUAAGUCCCGCAACGAGCGCAACCCACGUCUUUAGUUGCCAGCAUUUAGUUGGGCACUCUAGAGAGACUGCCGGUGAUAAACCGGAGGAAGGUGUGGAUGACGUCAAGUCAUCAUGCCCCUUACAUCCUGGGCUACACACGUACUACAAUGCUACGGACAGAGGGCAGCAAACUCGCGAGAGCUAGCAAAUCCCAUAAACCGUGGCUCAGUUCAGAUCGUAGGCUGCAACUCGCCUACGUGAAGGAGGAAUCGCUAGUAAUCGCAGGUCAGCAUACUGCGGUGAAUACGUUCCCGGGCCUUGUACACACCGCCCGUCACACCAUGGAAGUUGGCCACGCCCGAAGCCGUUACUCCAACCCUUGUGGAGGAGGACGUCGAAGGUGGGGCUGAUGACUGGGGUGAAGUCGUAACAAGGUAGCCGUACCGGAAGGUGC
rnacentral:rRNA from 1 species